rnacentral:lncRNA from 1 species
GUUUAAAAAAUGUGUCCGGUGACCCGGCCAACCAUCCAAGAUGGCCGCCAUGGCUAAAAAUAGAACAUAGGGGUAAAAUGCAGUUUUUGGCUUAUAACUCAAAAACCAAAGCAUUUAGAGCAAAUCUGACAUGGGGUAGAAUUGUUCAACAGGUGAAGAUCUAUCUGCCCUGAAAUUUUCAGAUGAAUCGGAUAACCCGUUGUUGGGUUGCUGCCCCUGAAUUAGUAAUUUUAAGGAAAUUUUGCUGUUUUUGGUUAUUAUCUUGAAUAUUAUUAUAGAUAGAGAUAAACAGUAAACAGCAAUAAUGUUCAGCAAAGUAAGAUUAACAAAUAAGUCAACAUGACUGAAAUGGUCAGUUGACCCCUUUAGGAGUUAUUGCCCUUUAUAGUCAAUUUUUAACCAUUUUUUGUAAAUCUUAGUAAUCUUUUACAAAAAUCUUCUUCUCUGAAACUACUGGGCCAAAUUUAACCAAACUUGGCCAUAAUCAUCAUUGGGGUAUCUAGUUUAAUAAAUGUGUCCGGUGACCCAGCCAACCAACCAAGAUGGCCGCUCUGGCUAAAAAUAGAACAUAGGGGUAAAAUGCAGUUUUUGGCUUAUAACUCAAAAAUCAAAGCAUUUAGAGCAAAUCUGUAAGGGUAAAAUUGUUCAUUAGGUCAAGAUCUAUCUGCCCUGAAAUUUUCAGAUGAAUCGGACAUUCUGUUGUUGGGUUACUGACCCUGAAAUGGUAAUUUUAAGGAAAUUUUGCUGUUUUUGGUUAUUAUCUUGAAUAUUAUUAUAGAUAGAGAUAAACUGUAAACAGCAAUAAUGUUCAGCAAUGUAAGAUCUACAAAUAAGUCAACAUGACCAAAAUGGUCAGUUGACCACUUGAGGAGUUAUUGCCCUUUAUAGUCAAUUUUUAACCAUUUUUCGUAAAUCUUAAUUAUCUUUUAGAAAAAUCUUCUCCUCUGAAACUACUGGGCCAAAUUUAACCAAACUUAGCCAUAAUCAUCAUUGGGGUAUUUAGUUAAAAAAAUGUGUCCGGUAACUCGGCCAACAAACCAAGAUGGCAACCAUGGCUAAAAAUAGAACAUGGGGGUAAAAUGCAGUUUUUGGCUUAUAACUCAAAAACCAAAGCAUUAAGAGCAAAUCUGACAGGGAGUAAAAUUGUUGAUCAGGUCAUGAUCUAUCUGCCCUGGAAUUUUCAGAUGAAUCGGAUAAUCGGUUGUUAGGUUGCUGCCCCUGAAUUGGUAAUUAUGAGGAAAUUUUGCUGGUUUUUU